UGAGGGAAUAUUGGGUCAAUGGGGCGAGAGCCUGAACCAGCCAAGUAGCGUGCAGGACGACGGCCCUAUGGGUUGUAAACUGCUUUUAUAAGGGAAUAAAGUGAGUCUCGUGAGACUUUUUGCAUGUACCUUAUGAAUAAGGACCGGCUAAUUCCGUGCCAGCAGCCGCGGUAAUACGGAAGGUCCGGGCGUUAUCCGGAUUUAUUGGGUUUAAAGGGAGCGUAGGCCGGAGAUUAAGCGUGUUGUGAAAUGUAGAGGCUCAACGUCUGCACUGCAGCGCG
rnacentral:rRNA from 1 species